rnacentral:rRNA from 1 species
GACGAACGCUGGCGGCGUGCUUAACACAUGCAAGUCGAACGGAAAGGCCCUGCUUUUGUGGGGUGCUCGAGUGGCGAACGGGUGAGUAACACGUGAGUAACCUGCCCUUGACUUUGGGAUAACUUCAGGAAACUGGGGCUAAUACCGGAUAUGAGCUCCUGCUGCAUGGUGGGGGUUGGAAAGUUUCGGCGGUUGGGGAUGGACUCGCGGCUUAUCAGCUUGUUGGUGGGGUAGUGGCUUACCAAGGCUUUGACGGGUAGCCGGCCUGAGAGGGUGACCGGCCACAUUGGGACUGAGAUACGGCCCAGACUCCUACGGGAGGCAGAAGUGGGGAAUAUUGCACAAUGGGCGGAAGCCUGAUGCAGCAACGCCGCGUGCGGGAUGACGGCCUUCGGGUUGUAAACCGCUUUCGCCUGUGACGAAGCGUGAGUGACGGUAAUGGGUAAAGAAGCACCGGAUAACUACGUG